CUACGGGAUGCAGCAGUGGGGAAUAUUGGACAAUGGGCGCAAGCCUGAUCCAGCAAUGCCGCGUGAGUGAAGACGGCCUCAGGGUUGUAAAACUCUUUCGCUAGGGAAGAUAAUGACUGUACCUAGUAAAGAAGUCCCGGCUAACUCCGUGCCAGCAGCCGCGGUAAUAGGAGGGGACUAGCGUUGUUCGGAAUUACUGGGCGUAAAGAGUUCGUAGGCGGACUGACAAGUUAGAGGUGAAAUCCCAGGGCUCAACCCUGGAACUGCCUUUAAAACUGUCAGUCUAGAGACCGGAAGAGGUUAGGGGAAUACCUAGUGUAGAGGUGAAAUUCGUAGAUAUUAGGUGGAACACCAGUGGCGAAGGCGCCUAACUGGUCCGGUACUGACGCUGAGGAACGAAAGCGUGGGGAGCAAACAGGAUUAGAUACCCCUGUAGUC
rnacentral:rRNA from 1 species